rnacentral:rRNA from 1 species
AUUGAACGCUAGCGGGAUGCCUUACACAUGCAAGUCGAACGGCGUGGCGAACGGGUGAGGAAUGUAUCGGACCGUGCCACUGAGUGGGGGAGAAGUACGCGUAAGCGAAGCUAAAACUACAACCUAUUGCAGUGGCCGAUAUCGGAUUAGCUAGUUGGUGGGGUAACGGCACACCCAGGCGACGAUCCGUAGCGGGUUUGGGAGGACGACCAGCCACACUGGAACUGAGACACGGCCCAGACGCCUACGGGAGGCAGCAGUGGGGAAUUUUGGACAAUGGGGGAAACCCUGAUCCAGCCAUCCCGCGUGUGCGAUGAAGGCCUUCGGGUUGUAAAGCACUUUUGGCAGGGAAGCGGUACCUGCAGAAUAAGCACCGGCUAACUACGUGCCAGCAGCCGCGGUAAUUC